ensembl:lncRNA CYP1B1-AS1 CYP1B1 antisense RNA 1
AUUCCCUGACCUUCCUUUCUAGGGCUCUGAAUCCACCCCAUUGCUGUCUAUCCAGUCAGUCUCUCUUUUCUAGCUGGCAUCCAUCACAAGCAAUCUGCUUAUCUUGUUUUUGUCUAUCUUUGUUGAGUUUUGGUAUUGAUUUUAUGUGUCAGUACCUGAGAAGGAGAGAAGUCCUUGAGUUGUUUCGUAAAUGUGGCUCAAGUGAGAUGCUGAACAGUGCCAGCCAUGUGGACUCUGCCACAGUGAAGGAGGAAGGAAAAAAAUAUAAUAUUGGAUCGGCUGUGUGUCAAGCAUCUGAGGUUCUAACCAUAGCUCCAUUACUACCAGUCCGUGUGACUUGGGGAAUGCUGCUUACCUUCUUUGAGACCCAGUUUCUUCAUUACAAGAUAAAGAGCUUGCUAGGCAGCACUGAGAAGUGAAGGAAUAUUUGGGAGGAUCAGAAGCUUGGUCCUGAUUUUGCCAUCAACAGGAACUUGAUGACUUCAAGGGAGUCCCCAAACCCUGGGUUUCUGUUUUCUCAACUCUAACAUGAGGGGCUAGAUGCAUCUGGUUUAGUUAGUCUCCAUGAUGGUUUAGUUCGUCUCCAUGAUCCUGUGAAUUUCAGAUGUUGAAAAUCUUCGGAAAAGCCCUGAAAGAUGAACAGUGGUCUCAAAUAGUCAAGACCCCCUGCUGGGAGGAGCUUCUAUCCUGCUCUGUGGAAGAAAUGGGCAUGCCAGAUGCCUG